rnacentral:lncRNA from 1 species
GCAGAGGCUCCGGAGCUCUGCGGAAGGCACGUCGAAAAUGCGAAUUCCCGACGGUUGGCGAGUUGGGAUUGGAGCCAGAAUGACCUGCAGUCUUGACAGAAAAGUACACCUGUGUGACAGCAGUGACAGCUGAAUGGGAGCAAUCAAGAUCCUCAAUCUCUGCUGUUCAAUAUCGGAGCCAUCCAUGAGCCACGUGGCUGCUGAGGGCUUGUGCUGGGGCUGAACUGAGAGGUGCUGCACAUAAGUGCGGACCAGAUGGUCAAAGCUGGACAUCAAAAGGGAAAGGUAAGGCAUCUCAUUAA